CCGAUCCAGCAAUACCGCGUGUGUGAAGAAGGCCUGAGGGUUGUAAAGCACUUUCAAUUGGGAGGAAAACCUGCCGGUCAAUACCCGGCAGCUUGACAUUACCUUUAGAAGAAGCACCGGCUAACUCCGUGCCAGCAGCCGCGGUAAUACGGAGGGUGCGAGCGUUAAUCGGAAUUACUGGGCGUAAAGCGUGCGUAGGCGGUUAUUUAAGUCAGAUGUGAAAGCCCCGGGCUUAACCUGGGAACUGCAUUUGAUACUGGGUAACUAGAGUUUAGUAGAGGAGAGUGGAAUUUCAGGUGUAGCGGUGAAAUGCGUAGAGAUCUGAAGGAACACCAGUGGCGAAGGCGACUCUCUGGACUAAAACUGACGCUGAGGUACGAAAGCGUCGGUAGCAAACAGGAUUAGAUCCCUUGGUAGUCACGCCGUAAACGAUGUACUAGCCGUGGGCUUUACAGCCUAUGGGCACUUACCAUUAAGUGACCUUGGGAGACGC
rnacentral:rRNA from 1 species